rnacentral:rRNA from 3 species
CACACGACUCUCGGCAACGGAUAUCUCGGCUCUCGCAUCGAUGAAGAACGUAGCGAAAUGCGAUACCUGGUGUGAAUUGCAGAAUCCCGCGAACCAUCGAGUCUUUGAACGCAAGUUGCGCCCGAGGUCUUUUGGCUGAGGGCACGCCUGCCUGGGCGUCACGC